rnacentral:rRNA from 1 species
AUUGAACGCUGGCGGCAUGCCUUACACAUGCAAGUCGAACGGCAGCACGGGAGCAAUCCUGGUGGCGAGUGGCGAACGGGUGAGUAAUAUAUCGGAACGUGCCCAGUCGUGGGGAUAACGUAGCGAAAGCUACGCUAAUACCGCAUACGAUCUAUGGAUGAAAGCGGGGGAUCGCAAGACCUCGCGCGAUUGGAGCGGCCGAUAUCAGAUUAGGUAGUUGGUGNGGUAAAGGCUCACCAAGCCGACGAUCUGUAGCUGGUCUGAGAGGACGACCAGCCACACUGGGACUGAGACACGGCCCAGACUCCUACGGGAGGCAGCAGUGGGAUUUUGGACAAUGGGCGCAAGCCUGAUCCAGCAAUGACCGCGUGCAGGAU